GGCCUAACACAUGCAAGUCGAGCGGAAACGACACUAACAAUCCUUCGGGUGCGUUAAUGGGCGUCGAGCGGCGGACGGGUGAGUAAUGCCUAGGAAAUUGCCUUGAUGUGGGGGAUAACCAUUGGAAACGAUGGCUAAUACCGCAUAAUGCCUACGGGCCAAAGAGGGGGACCUUCGGGCCUCUCGCGUCAAGAUAUGCCUAGGUGGGAUUAGCUAGUUGGUGAGGUAAUGGCUCACCAAGGCGACGAUCCCUAGCUGGUCUGAGAGGAUGAUCAGCCACACUGGAACUGAGACACGGUCCAGACUCCUACGGGAGGCAGCAGUGGGGAAUAUUGCACAAUGGGCGAAAGCCUGAUGCAGCCAUGCCGCGUGUAUGAAGAAGGCCUUCGGGUUGUAAAGUACUUUCAGUUGUGAGGAAGGGGGUAGCGUUAAUAGCGCUAUCUCUUGACGUUAGCAACAGAAGAAGCACCGGCUAACUCCGUGCCAGCAGCCGCGGUAAUACGGAGGGUGCGAGCGUUAAUCGGAAUUACUGGGCGUAAAGCGCAUGCAGGUGGUUCAUUAAGUCAGAUGUGAAAGCCCGGGGCUCAACCUCGGAACUGCAUUUGAAACUGGUGAACUAGAGUACUGUAGAGGGGGGUAGAAUUUCAGGUGUAGCGGUGAAAUGCGUAGAGAUCUGAAGGAAUACCAGUGGGCGAAGGCGGCCCCCUGGACAGAUACUGACACUCAGAUGCGAAAGCGUGGGGAGCAAACAGGAUUAGAUAC
rnacentral:rRNA from 1 species